ensembl:snRNA U6 U6 spliceosomal RNA
GUGGAACACUGUGGCAGCACAUACACCAAAACUGAAAUGAUACACAGAAGAUUAGUAUGGCUGUUGGGCAAGGAUGACAGGCAAAUUUGUUAGAUAUUUCAUAUUAAA